CGGGAGGGAGACUUUCCCCGUGGACCCCUUUGUACCUCUUGAGUCUUGAAGGCUGUGAAUGUAUCACAUGUUCAAAAUGCAUCAACUGUUGGAAAAUAAAUACAAACACGAUGGAAACCCCAUCUGUGCAGCACAUGUUUAGUGGGUGCCCCUCUGUGCCUGGGAGCAAGGGUGUGAGAGAGCAGGCCAUGCUCACACCUUUCAAAAGAGUGAGGGGAGAGGAAGAGAGGUAUGUCCGUGAUUAUAAUCAUCAUUGGUGAGUUCAAUGCCAGAGGAAGCCUGGAGUCCUCUGGGCUCACAGAGGAAUCCAAGUGGGUAGUUAGAAAGGGCUUCCUGGAGGAAGAGAUUCUUGAGCUGUUUCGAAGGUAGCAUAAGAGUUGACUGGGUGGAGAAGGGAGGGAAGGUUUGGAUGAGAUUGAAGUGUGGGUUUCUAUUCUGACUGCCAAAACCUGUGGUGCCUUUGGGUGUUAGUCUUCCCAUUCAUAACAUAGGAAACCUUGGUUCAGGGAGCCAGGCAGGAAAGUAGUUCCAGCCCCUAGAAUUUCAGCCCUCAGCUAUCCCUCUGAAGCCGCUGUGGGCACCCUAGUUCUGUGCAGGCUGCUGCUUCCCAGAGAGGUGCUCUUGCUAGCUGAGGACAGCGGGCCAGCCCCUUCCGGCUGCUUCCCCUACUUAUGGAUUCGUCUUGUAUGCUCCGAUUCCAAAUCCUGCAGGAUUUAAUAUCCACUCUGUAAUCUACUGGCACCAAUAGGCAUUAUCUAACUAAACCUUAAAUUGAAAAUGCUAGGCUUCUAUUUUCCCCGCGCCGUCGGGAGAAGUUGGGACUCUCUUCGUCCAAUGUAAUUUACUCUUGCACUAAUUAAAGUGCGUCACUCUGCUGUCCUCGAAGGCACGCAGCCUGCCCCCGACAAGGAAUGCAGCUGGGGCAGACGAGGCAAAGCAGGGGCUGGGUGGGCUGGCCAAUCUAGGGCUGCAAGAUGGUUCCUGCAUCCAUCCCAAGUGCCUCUUGCUUUAAGGCCAUUUCAUUUCCUGAGAGAUUGAGAGUUCACUUGCUGUAAUAUUCAUUCAUUCAUUCACUCACUCAUUCACUCCCUACCUCCCUCCUGCAUUUAUUAAGCACUCAAGGCAGGCACAGAAAUAAAAGCUGCUAAACAUACGGUCAGGCUCUUCUCUCCAGCCCCUUCCCCAGUGUUGUGAGGGUUUCACAGGAUGCAGGUUCCCAGGCCACAUCAGCUCGCAGAGCAACCCAGGGAUGGGGAGCAAGAACAGCUAAUGUUACAGAUGCUUCCUUUCACCCAACAUUAUUUAAAUAACUCUGUUUUUUUAAAAAUGAAACUUCUUAUUUUGAGAUCACUGUAGAUUCACAUGCAGUUGUAAGAAAUAAUAGAGAUCCAGUGUGCCCUUUGCCCAGUUUCCCCCAAUAUUAACAUCUUGCAAAACUAUAGUACAAGAUCAUGACCAGGAAAUAGACGCUGACACAGUCAAGAUGCAGACUGUUCCGUCACCACAAGGAUCUCUCCUGUUGUCUCUUCAUAGGCACUUUCCCCCUUUCUCUUCUUUUCUGACCCCUGGCAACCAUGAAUCUCUGUUUCUAUAAUUUUGUCAUUUUAAGAAUGUCACAGAAUCAUUUAACCUUUUGGGAUAGGCUUGAAUAACUCAUUUAAUGCUUUUUUUUUUUUUUUUUUUUUUUUGAAGGAGUCUUACUCUCUUGCCAGGCUGGAUUGCAAUGGCGCGAUCUCGGCUCACUGCAACCUCCACCUCCCAGGUUCAAGCGAUUCUCCUGCCUCAGCCUCCCAAGUAGCUGGGACUACAGGCGCACACCACCAUGCCUGGCUAAUUUUUGUAGUUUUAGUAGAGACAGCGUUUCACCAAGUUGGCCAGGAGGUCUUGAUCUCUUGACCUCGUGAUCCGCCCACCUCGGCCUCCCAAAGUGCUGGGAUUACAGGCAUGAGCCACUGUGCCUGGCCUCAUUUAAUUCUUAUAACAACCUGAUGAGCAAGGUCAGCGUCAGUGUCUUCAUUUUACAGACAUACUAGUUGAGGCCAGGGCAGUGAAGUAACUUGCAGAGACAGGAUUUAAGCUCAGGUCGUCCUGACAGUAAACCGGGCUCUCAAGUCUCUUCAAUGUAACACUGAUUGCAGGCACUGCUUGAACUGAUGGCCCUCAGUCCUCCAUGUGUCAGAUUGAAUUUCCUCUGCCUCCAAAACACAGCUGGGGGUCUUGGCUCUGGAAUGCUAAGGUCUCAAUCCUGGAGGCUGGAGAGGGCAAUCCUAGCCUGUCCUGUCCAGCCUGAAUUCUCAAGUGCAGGCCAUCAUACCGGGGCCCAGAGAUGAUGCUUCCUGGAGACAGAGGUGAAGCUCUAGCUGUCUGCAGGGGUUGGCCGGGACUCAGUGCUCACUCUUGCCUCAGUGGGAGUGGCAGAGGCUCAUACGGUGAUGUGCUCCUCCUCCCCAGUGCUCUCCAAGUCUAUCCAGGCCUCACAGCCUGGAAUUGGAGUCUCAGAUACCGUGGUUAGGUUAGCUAUGGGGCCACGAUGGGCCAGCUCUGAAGUAGUGUCACUUGCAGAGCUAACCAAGCGUGAGAUUGCUCAGAUGGCUGGAACAAGCGAGUCCCCUGUGCAUCCCUUCUCCCUUCAGCCAGCCACAGGCUCCUUUAGCUCUCACCUAGGUCCUGUUCCUGCCAUAAUGUGACCUGACACUGAUGAGAUCACAAAGCCAGUAUCCAUGGGUCCCACUCACUGUGGACAAGGGCUUCAUCUCCCAGUGGGAAGCCUCAGUCCCUGGUCCCUGGAGAGGGGAUCUGGGUCUCUCUGCAUCCAGUGGGAGAGCCUGAAUAGACCUGCAGGAGAGUUCCAGAGAUGUGGGUUCAAGUUCCAGUUCUGCCACUUACGAUUCCAUGAUCCACAGCGAAUUCCUUGUGCCUCAGUUGCCUCACUUGUAAACAAGAGUAAUAACAGUUCUUUACCUAUCUCAGUGGGAAGGUUGAACAACUCCAAGCUCCAUGACUUGCACAGGUAAACACAAAGAGCCUUGAAUGUACUAUUUCACAGGUGUAAUUAUCUCUAUCCUGCAAGUGAGUUAAAUAGCACAUUCUCCAUUACUAAAUGUCUGAGUGGGAAUCUGAAUCCAAUUCAGUCUAAUUCCGAGUCAUUAUCUUCCCUCUGAACCAUAAGGCUGGGCUCAGUUAGGUAUUCAAAUCUGAGCUGUGGGACUUGUAUCUAGAAUAUAUAAAGAACACUUACAACUCAAUAAUCAAAAAGACAAAUAACUCAAUUAGAAUAUGGGCAAAGGAUCUGAAUAUCCAUUUCUCCAUGGAAGGCAUACGAAUGACCAAAAAGCAAAUGAAAAGAUGCUGCACAUCAUCAGGCAUCAGGGAAAUACAAAUCAAAACCACGAGGAAAUGCCACUUCACACCCAGUAAGAUGGGGAUAACCAAAGACAGACAAUAGCCAGCACGAGGCUGUGGGGAAACCGGAGCCCUCAUAUACAGUUGUGUAGGAGUAUAAAAUGGGGCAGCCACGCUGGAACAAAGCCUGGCAGUUCCUCAAACGGCUAAACGGAGAGUCACCAUAAGACCCAGCAAUUCCAUUCCUAGGCUGAUACUCAAGAGAAUUGAAAACAUACAUCCAUGCAAAACUUGUACAAAAAUGCUCAGAGCAGCAUUAUUGAUAAUAGAUGAAAAGAGGAAACAAUCCGAAUAUUCAGCUAAUGAAUGGAUAAACAAAAUAUGGUCUAUCCAUACAGUGGAAUAUUAUUCAGCCACAGAAAGAAAUGAAGGGCUGAUACAUGCUACAAUAUGAAUUAACCUUGAAAACAUGAUGAUAAGUUGCCAGGUGCAGUGGCACGUGCCUGUGGUCCCAGCUACUCUGGAGGCUGAGGUGGGAGGAUCACUUGAUCCCAGGAGUUCAAGGCCACAGUGUGCUCCAGUGGCCUGUGAGUAGCCACUGUACUCCAGCCUGGGCAAUAUAGCAAGGCCCCAUCUCUAAAUAAAUAAAAAUAAAUGAUAAAAUUAAAAGAAACAAGAUUUAAAACAUUCCACUGAUUACAUAAUUCAAUUUAUAUGAAAGUCCAGAAUAAACAAAUUUGUAGGGAGAGAAAGUAGAGUGGUGUUUGC
rnacentral:lncRNA from 1 species